CUCAGUCUAAAGUCGCCGGCGUCAGUGUUUCCAGCAGCAGUGAUCCAGCUUUGGCACCUUCAGCUCCAAUGACUGGACUUUUUAAUCUGUGAGGAGAGCCAGGUCCCAGUGUGUCUGCUGUCAGCAUCACUGCUAAAGUGCGAAUUCAGCAGCAUGAAUCAGUGUGAGGACAGAAACGAGGAAGCCCCUCCCUCUGAAACCUGUCUGUGUUGGGACCAUGAGAACCAGAACAAAGCUCAGUGCUUUGUGUCCUUGAAGAGCAAUGAGUCAAAGAGCCAGCCUAUUGCUUUUAAAGGCCAACCUGUAUUACAGUCUAAGUGAGUAGUGUCAAUUUGCCAAUUUGAACCAGGUUAAACAAUGUGAUAUAAUAUUAUUAUAUGAUGAUAAAUAGUUAUGUCAUUUACAUUUUGUGGUCUUUGAGAUGUGAGUAAGUUGAUUCUGGUUGAACGUGAAGGAGAAGCUCUAUUCAGUGUUUUUCCAGUAAAUCUACUGAAUCAGUAUGGUGUAA
rnacentral:lncRNA from 1 species